rnacentral:rRNA from 1 species
AGAGUUUGAUCCUGGCUCAGGAUGAACGCUGGCGGCAUGCCUAAUACAUGCAAGUCGAACGAGGGUCCUUCGGGACUCGAGUGGCGAACGGGUGAGUAACACGUAGGGAACCUGCCCGUGCGACCGGGAGAACUUUCGGAAACGGAAGCUGAUACCGGAUAGGGACAGAGACGGCAUCGACUCUGUGUUAAAGGAGCUGAAAGGCUCCGCGCACGGAUGGACCUGCGGUGCAUUAGCUGGUUGGUGAGGUAACGGCCCACCAAGGCGACGAUGCGUAGCCGGCCUGAGAGGGCGGACGGCCACACUGGGACUGAGACACGGCCCAGACUCCUACGGGAGGCAGCAGUAGGGAAUUUUCGUCAAUGGGCGCAAGCCUGAACGAGCAAUGCCGCGUGAACGAGGAAGGUCUUCGGAUCGUAAAGUUCUGUUGAAGGGGAAAAAGAGCGGAGAGAGGAAACGAACUCCGAUUGAUAUUACCCUUCGAGGAAGUCACGGCUAACUACGUGCCAGCAGCCGCGGUAAUACGUAGGUGGCGAGCGUUAUCCGGAAUGAUUGGGCGUAAAGGGUGCGUAGGCGGCCUGCUAAGUCUGGAGUGAAAGGUACCGGCUCAACCGGUACAGGCUCUGGAAACUGGCGGGCUAGAGAGCAGGAGAGGGCGGUGGAACUCCAUGUGUAGCGGUAAAAUGCGUAGAUAUAUGGAAGAACACCAGUGGCGAAGGCGGCCGCCUGGCCUGUUACUGACGCUGAGGCACGAAAGCGUGGGGAGCAAAUAGGAUUAGAUACCCUAGUAGUCCACGCCGUAAACGAUGAGGACCAAGUGUUGGGGAAGACCCAGUGCUGCAGUUAACGCAGUGAGUCCUCCGCCUGGGGAGUAUGCACGCAAGUGUGAAACUCAAAGGAAUUGACGGGGGCCCGCACAAGCGGUGGAGUAUGUGGUUUAAUUUGAAGCAACGCGAAGAACCUUACCAGGCCUUGACAUAGGGUGCGAAGCUAUGGAGACAUAGUGGAGGUAAACAUCCAUACAGGUGGUGCAUGGUUGUCGUCAGCUCGUGUCGUGAGAUGUUCAGUUAAGUCUGGCAACGAGCGCAACCCUCGUGAUGUGUUACCAAUAUCGAGUUAGGGACUCACAUCAGACUGCCGGUGAGAAACCGGAGGAAGGCGGGGAGGACGUCAAAUCAUCAUGCCCCUUAUGGCCUGGGGUACACACGUACUACAAUGGCGGCGACAGAGGGCAGCGAGCCUGCGAAGGCAAGCGAAUCCCAAAAAAGCCGUCCCAGUUCGGAUUGGAGUCUGCAACCCGACUCCAUGAAGUUGGAAUCGCUAGUAAUCGCGGAUCAGCAUGCCGCGGUGAAUACGUUCUCGGGCCUUGCACACACCGCCCGUCAA